UUUGGUGGCGAUAGCGAAGAGGUCACACCCGUUCCCAUGCCGAACACGGAAGUUAAGCUCUUCAGCGCCGAUGGUAGUCGGGGGUUUCCCCCUGUGAGAGUAGGACGCCGCCA
rnacentral:rRNA from 1 species